rnacentral:rRNA from 1 species
CCUACGGGGGGCUGCAGUGGGGAAUAUUGGACAAUGGGCGAAAGCCUGAUCCAGCCAUGCCGCGUGUGUGAAGAAGGCCUUCGGGUUGUAAAGCACUUUCAGUGGGGAAGAAAGCCUUGGGGCUAAUACCCUCGAGGAAGGACAUCACCCACAGAAGAAGCACCGGCUAACUCCGUGCCAGCAGCCGCGGUAAUACGGAGGGUGCGAGCGUUAAUCGGAAUUACUGGGCGUAAAGCGCGCGUAGGCGGUCUGAUAAGCCGGUUGUGAAAGCCCCGGGCUCAACCUGGGAACGGCAUCCGGAACUGUCAGGCUAGAGUGCAGGAGGGGAAGGUAGAAUUCCCGGUGUAGCGGUGAAAUGCGUAGAGAUCGGGAGGAAUACCAGUGGCGAAGGCGGCCUUCUGGACUGACACUGACGCUGAGGUGCGAAAGCGUGGGUAGCAAACAGGAUUAGAUCCCCUGGUAGUC